GACUGCAAAUAUAAUCCGAUCACCCGACCUGACCCGAAGUUUCUGAAUUUACCGACCUGAAUUGAAACGGGCAAGCAUCGGAAGCCUUCUGUUUGGGUUUCGAAAUUAUUCGGUUAAUGCCCGAAUUUGAUGAUCAAAACGGCACCGUUUUACAUAUACUCUAAUUUCCUCUGGGUGCUCUCCCUCCCUCGCUUAGGCUCAGACACUCAACCCUCUCGCUCUCUCUCACUCUUAUUACUGUCCUCUCAGUCCUCUCCCUCGCUCAGACUCGCUCUCUGUUUGCAUCUUGGCCUCUUGCUUUCUCAAUCUCUCGCUUUGACCGAAGGUGUGGAUGAUGUAAACCGUUAGUGUUCUUGAGUUUGAAUCGAUCUUGGUUAUUUUUCUGUAAAUAUCAUGCGAGACCACAACAGCUGGCCCCCCUUUUUUUAUGUGUGAAAAUAAAAAAGGUUUAUGAUGAGAUGAGCUUAACAAAUGAUGUGAUGAGGCCAUCACACUUGGACGUUUGCAACAGAAGUAGGAAUAGGAUAAUGUCAAGGAGAAAAAACUGGAAAUUUUUGUUUGGAAGUUAGGCAUAGUGCAAGAUUUUGUUCUCUCUUGCAAUUUAAGACAAAUUGUUAAAUAGAAUAACCUACUUCAGCUUUCUUGACUAUUUUCAA